CAAGGUCUCUUUAAUUAGCCUCAGGCAUUUUGAUCCUUUAAACCCUAAACUGUCUUUAAACUAUCCAGAAGUGUUGACUUCCAAAGACUUUAAUUUGGACAAGCAAGUGGGAGAAAGUGGAGAGUAUUAACUUCUUUUCUCAAGCAUCAUGGUACUCCUAAUUAACACAUCGUUGUCUUCUUUGUGAGAACCUGCACAAAUAAGUCAGAUGUGUCUGCUAGCUGUUGAAAUUCUACAAUGAAAAUACCUUCAAAAGGCUCCACUGGAGAAAUAAAUCCUCUCUUGAGCCAACCCAUAACACAUUCCCGAAGAAAAAAAAAGAUGAAACUGACCUGCUCAUUUAGUGAUGAACAAAGCUCCAAGGCCUUGUAGAAGCACUGGCCAAGCUGACCCAGAAGAAAACUUUAUGUAAAUGGCUCAAGCAUAUUAUAAUGUUGGACCAAGAAAUCCUGAAGCAAAAAAG
rnacentral:lncRNA from 1 species